rnacentral:lncRNA from 1 species
GCGACAAUUUUGUGUUCAAAUUUCACUCUUGACAAAAGUUGUGCACACUGAUUUUUAAAAACUACAAAAGUCAUGAAUUUUGAACGAGACACUGUGGAAGAAGAUUCAGAGGCGGCAGAAGCACUUUCAGAGACUUCGGAUCCUUGACAACAUGAAAGUGAUCAGAAGAUGUAGAACCUUCAGAAGACACAACAGUUCAUAUCAAUAGUAAGGGAUGUGUUUGAACAGAAGCAGAGCUCUGGGACGUGUGGACAGACUUUCACUGUAAUGAUGGACAUCCGCUGAUGGACAGAAGUAUAACCCCUGCUGGACAUCGUGCCGGGGCUCGGGGGGGACCCGAAUCAUCCCCACUCCUUCAUUCACACAACACUCACUCAUAUCACAGAGAUCUGGCUGGGAUUGAACCAGCAACCUCUGAACCAUGA